CUACGGGAGGCAGCAGUGGGGAAUAUUGGACAAUGGGGGCAACCCUGAUCCAGCGACGCCGCGUGGGUGACGAAGGCCUUAGGGUUGUAAAGCCCUUUUCUCGGGGAAGAUGAUGACGGUACCUGAGGAAUAAGCACCGGCUAACUCCGUGCCAGCAGCCGCGGUAAGACGGAGGGUGCUAGCGUUGUUCGGAAUUACUGGGCGUAAAGGGCGCGUAGGCGGCCUGGCAAGUCGGAUGUGAAAGCCCGGGGCUCAACCUCGGAACGGCAUUCGAAACUGCUGGGCUAGAGGACGGAAGAGGAGAGUGGAAUACCCAGUGUAGAGGUGAAAUUCGUAGAUAUUGGGUGGAACACCGGUGGCGAAAGCGGCUCUCUGGUCCGGCUCUGACGCUGAGGCGCGAAAGCGUGGGGAGCAAACAGGAUUAGAUACCCUAGUAGUCC
rnacentral:rRNA from 1 species